GAAGCGCGCUCCUGUUGCGUCACGUCGUCGUUCACGGUCAACAGCGCCCUCUAGUGGCCGGUGGAGCCCAACGCACCUAGUCACAGCGGCUCCCUGCCUCGGACGGAACGGGAGAGCGUGUCCUAGCGAGCAGACGAUGAUGGGACAUUAAUGGAUAGAAGACAUGAUCCUGAUCAUGGUAAUCAUCCCUGCUAGUUGUAGGGAUUUCCAACUAGUUUUCCAAAACUAGCAGGGAUGAUUACCAUGAUCAGGUGUCAGUUGGCUUUUCCAGACAGUAGCCCCUUUAAGGACUGGAGCUGGACACCUGUGCUUUAAAGGCUCUAGACCACGUCCACCUGCGCUCCUCCAUCAGGUGCCGGUCGUUAGAUGCAGUCAUCGGCUGAUUUAGUAGUCAUUCCUGUUCUGUCUCAUUUGAUGUCUCAGGCUUCUACCAGUUUGUUCGUCCACAUCACAAACAGAUGUUUGAUGAGAAAUGCCAGGCACUGACUGGUCAGGGCUGUGUAUCCCACCACCAGGACUUGCUGUCGAAUGACGAGAAGAAAGCACUAAUGCAGCAGAGUGCUCACCUGACGCUUCCACAGAGCAAGCGGUAGCGCAAGAACAAGUUUUUUUUCUCAA